rnacentral:misc_RNA from 1 species
CCGAGUUAGGGUCUUCUAGGCCCAAUCUCCAACCCUGUGUAUAUAUAACUUCGUUGCUUUGGCAGGCCUGUCUUUGACCAGACUGCCGGAGGUCCCAGGACCGCCGGAGAGUGCCUGUCAGUAGCCCCCAUUUUAAAUUCUUGAAUAAUCGUGACGUCUGAGUUGAGAUAACAAAUAGUUA